rnacentral:lncRNA from 1 species
CUUUACACCUUGACACGCGCCGAAGUGUCGAUGAGGAUACUGCAGAAAGUUGCAAAAGUGGUGUAGCGAUGAAGGCUUGAUGAACGGAAACAGGUAAGGCAAACGCCAAGGUAGUCGCUGGUACGGAUCAAGGCAGCCAGCGGUUGAACACCAAGUGUAGGUAGAGGCCAAAAACGUCCAGUACCUGAAAAAAUUGUAGAUAGCGGCUUCAGUCGCUUGUGCGCGUGUCCGCUGCUGCUGCCAAAGUGUCAGGCAAGGCGCUCCGCGUAGCCGCAGGAAAAUAGCAGUCCAGGUGUCGCUCACAGUGCCUAGCUGACAGCCA